UACGGAGGAUCCGAGCGUUAUCCGGAUUUAUUGGGUUUAAAGGGUGCGCAGGCGGGGGAUUAAGUCGGCGGUGAAAUUUUGCAGCUCAACUGUAAAAGUGCCUUCGAAACUGGUUUCCUUGAGUGUAGAUGAAGUAGGCGGAAUUUGUGGUGUAGCGGUGAAAUGCGUAGAGAUCGGGAGGAACACCAGUGGCGAAGGCGGGUAACUGGACUGCAACUGACGCUGAGGCGCGAAGGUGUGGGGAGCAAACAGGAUUAGAUACCCUGGUAGUCCCUGAG
rnacentral:rRNA from 1 species